CCAGCCGCCGCGGUAAUACGUAGGUGUCGAGCGUUGUCCGGAUUUAUUGGGCGUAAAGAGCCCGCAGGCGGCUUGGUAAGUUCGAGGUGAAAUCUCCCGGCUCAACUGGGAGGGUGCCUCGAAAACUAUCAGGCUUGAGGCAGGGAGAGGGAUGUGGAAUUCCCGGUGUAGUGGUGAAAUGCGUAGAUAUCGGGAGGAACACCAGUGGCGAAGGCGGCAUCCUGGCCCUGUCCUGACGCUCAGGGGCGAAAGCGUGGGGAGCAAACCGGAUUAGAUACCCGGGUAGUCCACGCCGUAAACGAUGAGUACUAGGUGUUGGGGGUAUCGACCCCCUCAGUGCCGAAGCUAACGCGAUAAGUACUCCGCCUGGGGACUACGGCCGCAAGGCUAAAACUCAAAGGAAUUGACGGGGGCCCGCACA
rnacentral:rRNA from 1 species